rnacentral:rRNA from 1 species
CCUACGGGAGGCAGCAGUGAGGAAUAUUGGUCAAUGGGCGCGAGCCUGAACCAGCCAAGUAGCGUGAAGGAUGACUGCCCUACGGGUUGUAAACUUCUUUUAUAAAGGAAUCAAGUGAGGCACGUGUGCCUUUUUGUAUGUACUUUAUUAAUCAGGAUCGGCUAACUCCGUGCCAGCCGCCUCGGGAAUACGGAGGAUCCGAGCGUUAUCCGGAUUUAUUGGGUUUAAAGGGAGCGUAGAUGGGUUGUUAAGUCAGUUGUGAAAGUUUGCGGCUCAACCGGAAAAUUGCAAUUGAUACUGGCAUCCUUGAGUACAGUUGAGGUAGGCGGAAUUCGUGGUGUAGCGGUGAAAUGCUUAGAUAUCACGAAGAACUCCGAUUGCGAAGGCAGCCUACUAAACUGCCACUGACAUUGAUGCUCGAAAGUGUGGGUAUCAAACAGGAUGAGAGACCCGAGUAGUC